rnacentral:rRNA from 1 species
UGGGGAAUUUUGGACAAUGGGCGAAAGCCUGAUCCAGCAAUGCCGCGUGUGUGAAGAAGGCCUUCGGGUUGUAAAGCACUUUUGUCCGGAAAGAAAUCCUUGGCUCUAAUACAGUCGGGGGAUGACGGUACCGGAAGAAUAAGCACCGGCUAACUACGUGCCAGCAGCCGCGGUAAUACGUAGGGUGCAAGCGUUAAUCGGAAUUACUGGGCGUAAAGCGUGCGCAGGCGGUUUGCUAAGACCGAUGUGAAAUCCCCGGGCUCAACCUGGGAACUGCAUUGGUGACUGGCAGGCUAGAGUAUGGCAGAGGGGGGUAGAAUUCCACGUGUAGCAGUGAAAUGCGUAGAGAUGUGGAAGAAUACCGAUGGCGAAGGCAGCCCCCUGGGCCAAUACUGACGCUCAUGCACGAAAGCGUGGGGAGCAAACAGGAUUAGAUACCCUGGUAGUCCACGCCCUAAACGAUGUCAACUAGUUGUUGGGGAUUCAUUUCCUUAGUAACGUAGCUAACGCGUGAAGUUGACCACCUGGGGAAGUACGGUCGCAAGAUUAAAACUUAAAUGAAUUGACGGGG